CCUACGGGGGGCUGCAGUGAGGAAUAUUGGUCAAUGGUCGGGAGCCUGAACCAGCCAAGCCGCGUGAGGGAUGAAGGUACAGAGUAUCGUAAACCUCUUUUGUCAGGGAACAAAGGCGGGGACGUGUCCCCGGAUGAGUGUACCUGAAGAAAAAGCAUCGGCUAACUCCGUGCCAGCAGCCGCGGUAAUACGGAGGAUGCGAGUUUUAUCCGGAUUAAUUGGGUUUAAAGGGUGCGCGGGGGGUUUGUUAAGUCAGCGGUAAAAGCCCGGGGCUCAACCCCGGCCCGCCGUUGAAACUGGCAGGCUCGAGUUGGAGAGAGGGAUGCGGAAUGCGCGGUGUAGCGGUGAAAUGCAUAGAUAUCGCGCAGAACUCCGAUUGCGAAGGCAGCAUGCCGGCUCCACACUGACGCUGAGGCACGAAAGCGUGGGUAUCGAACAGGAUUAGAUACCCGGGUAGUC
rnacentral:rRNA from 1 species